GAUCAAGCGACUAAGUGCAUAUGGUGGAUGCCUUGGCGAUCACAGGCGAUGAAGGACGUAGUAGCCUGCGAAAAGCUACGGGGAGCUGGCAAACAAGCUUUGAUCCGUAGAUAUCCGAAUGGGGAAACCCACCGCAGCAAUGCGGUAUCCCUAGCUGAAUACAUAGGCUAGUGGAAGCGAACCGGGUGAACUGAAACAUCUCAGUAGCUCGAGGAAAAGAAAUCAACCGAGAUUCCGAAAGUAGUGGCGAGCGAAAUCGGAAGAGCCUUUACGUUUUAGCACGCAAGAUAGUCGAACGGAAUGGAAAGUCCGGCCGUAGCAGGUGAUAGCCCUGUAGAUGAAAUCUUGUGUGUGGAACUAAGCGUAAGACAAGUAGGGCGGGACACGU
rnacentral:rRNA from 1 species